rnacentral:rRNA from 1 species
UGGCGGACGGGUGAGUAAUGUCUGGGAAACUGCCUGAUGGAGGGGGAUAACUACUGGAAACGGUAGCUAAUACCGCAUAACGUCGCAAGACCAAGAGGGGACCUUCGGGCCUCUUGCCAUCGGAUGUGCCCAGAUGGGAUUAGCUAGUAGGUGGGGUAACGGCUCACCUAGGCGACAUCCCUAGCUGGUCUGAGAGGAUGACCAGCCACACUGGAACUGAGACACGGUCCAG